rnacentral:rRNA from 1 species
CCUACGGGUGGCAGCAGUGAGGAAUAUUGGUCAAUGGACGCAAGUCUGAACCAGCCAUGCCGCGUGCAGGAAGACGGCUCUAUGAGUUGUAAACUGCUUUUGUACAAGGGUAAACCUGAAUACGUGUAUUCAGCUGAAAGUACCGUACGAAUAAGGAUCGGCUAACUCCGUGCCAGCAGCCGCGGUAAUACGGAGGAUCCAAGCGUUAUCCGGAUUUAUUGGGUUUAAAGGGUGCGUAGGCGGUUUGAUAAGUUAGAGGUGAAAUUUCGGAGCUUAACUCGGGAACUGCCUCUAAUACUGUUGGGCUAGAGAGUAGAUGCGGUAGGCGGAAUGUAUGGUGUAGCGGUGAAAUGCUUAGAGAUCAUACAGAACACCGAUUGCGAAGGCAGCUUACCAAGCUAUAUCUGACGUUGAGGCACGAAAGCGUGGGGAGCAAACAGGAUUAGAUACCCGAGUAGUC